CAAAAGCAACAACAGUAACAGCAAAAACGGCAACAACAACAGCUUACACUACAAGAACAAGAGAAGAAACGCAAAAAAGUUGCCAUCCCAAUGCUGAAGAAGACGUGCCCGGAUGACUGCGAGGGACCACUGUACUCCCCCUUCUGCGAGUACACCUGUGUAGCCAGCACCGGUGCCCCACCAUGAAGUACACCUGUGCAGCCAGCACCGGUACCAAGGAAGAGUAAACCGACAGCGCUACCAAGAGCGCAUAAUUUUUUUUUCUUUGCACUGCGUUGCAAAAAUUUUUUUAAUUGCACUGCGAUACAUAUUUUUUCAUAUAUUUUAUAAAAACAAAUGUAAAAAUUGAGCGACAUAAAAGUGGCCCGAUUAGAGUAUGGCCUGAAAACCAUACACAAAAUAGGCAGGAAAUUGUAUGUCAAAUAUAAUAAUAAUUGGUCAAAAACAAAAAAAAAAUCAAAUCAAAAUUAAUCAUAUCAAACUAGUUGUUUAUGAAUAUCAUUACCAACAUUUACGAAUAAAUUCAAAAAUCUAAAGUAUUUGACAGACCAAGAUACACUGCGCGUCAUCAGAUUAGCGCCCCCUUUUGGUUUUACUUUAUUGCAUCUAUCUCUGUUUCUAUUGCACGCAACUUCAAAAUUUUUGUUGUUGCUCUUAAAAUGCACAAAUUGUCGCUCUCUGAGAGGAAUACCGUUAGGUGAGAGAUUCCGUUAUCUAUUUUUUCUUUAUUUUGUUUUACUUUCGCUGCAAAAGCUUGCACUGAUUUUGCGUCAUCAGAUUAGCGCCUGUAAAUUCAAAUUUAGUUAUCUCGCGUAAUUUUUGGCGUACAGUUGUGAAAUUUUUUGUGCUGUGACAAUUAUUCAAUUAUUGUUUAUAAACUGAGAAUCAAAAUGGGUAAAGGAACUGUCCUAUCUUUAGAAGAAAAAUCUAAGAUCGAAGCCUUUAGUGAAAGUGGCUUAUCUUUACAUAAAAUUGCUGAAAAAAUGGGAAGGCAUCGAAAAACUAUAGCCAAUUUUCUUAAAAAUAAACAAGGCUAUGGUAAAAAUAUGAAAGGCGGUAACAACAGAGUUCUUUCCGAAGCAGACAUUCAGUCUAUAGUUAGACAUGCGUCUAAUUCACACGACUCUUUUACCAAAAUUAAAGAAAAAAGCGGUGUGGAAGCUAGCAAGUCCACGGUAUUACGAGUCAUAAAAAAAGCAGAACACUUGAAAAGACUAAAACUAAAAAAAAAACAAGGAAGAACGCUAUAG